GACGAACGCUGGCGGCGUGCUUAACACAUGCAAGUCGAACGGAAAGGCCCUGCUUUUGUGGGGUGCUCGAGUGGCGAACGGGUGAGUAACACGUGAGUAACCCGCCCUUGACUUUGGGAUAACUUCAGGAAACUGGGGCUAAUACCGGAUAGGAGCUCCUGCUGCAUGGUGGGGGUUGGAAAGUUUCGGCGGUUGGGGAUGGACUCGCGGCUUAUCAGCUUGUUGGUGGGGUAGUGGCUUACCAAGGCUUUGACGGGUAGCCGGCCUGAGAGGGUGACCGGCCACAUUGGGACUGAGAUACGGCCCAGACUCCUACGGGAGGCAGCAGUGGGGAAUAUUGCACAAUGGGCGGAAGCCUGAUGCAGCAACGCCGCGUGCGGGAUGACGGCCUUCGGGUUGUAAACCGCUUUCGCCUGUGACGAAGCGUGAGUGACGGUAAUGGGUAAAGAAGCACCGGCUAACUACGUGCCAGCAGCCGCGGUGAUACGUAGGGUGCGAGCGUUGUCCGGAUUUAUUGGGCGUAAAGGGCUCGUAGGUGGUUGAUCGCGUCGGAAGUGUAAUCUUGGGGCUUAACCCUGAGCGUGCUUUCGAUACGGGUUGACUUGAGGAAGGUAGGGGAGAAUGGAAUUCCUGGUGGAGCGGUGGAAUGCGCAGAUAUCAGGAGGAACACCAGUGGCGAAGGCGGUUCUCUGGGCCUUUCCUGACGCUGAGGAGCGAAAGCGUGGGGAGCGAACAGGCUUAGAUACCCUGGUAGUCCACGCUGUAAACGGUGGGUACUAGGUGUGGGGUCCAUUCCACGGGUUCCGUGCCGUAGCUAACGCUUUAAGUACCCCGCCUGGGGAGUACGGCCGCAAGGCUAAAACUCAAAGGAAUUGACGGGGCCCCCGCACAAGCGGCGGAGCAUGCGGAUUAAUUCGAUGCAACGCGUAGAACCUUACCUGGGUUUGACAUGGAUCGGGAGUGCUCAGAGAUGGGUGUGCCUCUUUUGGGGUCGGUUCACAGGUGGUGCAUGGCUGUCGUCAGCUCGUGUCGUGAGAUGUUGGGUUAAGUCCCGCAACGAGCGCAACCCUUGUUCACUGUUGCCAGCACGUUAUGGUGGGGACUCAGUGGAGACCGCCGGGGUCAACUCGGAGGAAGGUGGGGAUGACGUCAAGUCAUCAUGCCCCUUAUGUCCAGGGCUUCACGCAUGCUACAAUGGCUGGUACAGAGAGUGGCGAGCCUGUGAGGGUGAGCGAAUCUCGGAAAGCCGGUCUCAGUUCGGAUUGGGGUCUGCAACUCGACCUCAUGAAGUCGGAGUCGCUAGUAAUCGCAGAUCAGCAACGCUGCGGUGAAUACGGUUCCCGGG
rnacentral:rRNA from 1 species